AUCUUCUCACAUGUGCUAAAGGGUCUCUAGACCCUAUCAAGCUUCACACAGUGCAAAUACUUUUCUGUUGUUAUACUUCAUCAUUUAUGGGAUCAUGACCCCCCCCAAAAAAAAAUUAUACAUGUUCACUGUGGCUGCAAUGCUUUGUCCAAAUAUAUUCUGUUGUAUUGGUUGAUUGGGUCUGUGGGUAAGAAAGCUAUAGUUAUGGAGUGGGGAGUUAAAUGCACAGUUUUCUGUACUAUAAAUCUCUUUUCAUGUAGGCUUGGGAUUAGCCUUUAACAGACUUGGAGAUGUAGCCACAAGUGAAUAACUCUUUUUAGAUGACCUCCAAUUCAGAGUUUCAUCAUGAAGCGUACCAUGACUUCCUAAAUCCCAGUUAAUCCUGUGAAUUCAAGAAAGUAGUUCUUGAAGAUUCUGGAACAGAGGAUGGGAAGAGUUAAGAAGAGAACAUGGUCCCACUGUUUCAAAGUACAUUCCAAUCUGGGAGUGGGGGAAGAGAGACUGGCGGUCACAAUCACUGCCUGUGGAAUGUUUGUGAGGGUUACCAUGGCUUCCCGACAUUCUGAAAGUGCUUAGCCUGAGAGGCCCCACAUAAUCUUCACAGUUCAGCGGUCUCUGAAUUGUCACCAUGUAACCUUCUUGCCUGUUAUCUGUUUACUCUGGGGAUGACUCAUGACUAGUCACUAGCCCAGUAACUUUGUAACCUUUCCCCCGGAGAAUGUGUCUGGAUGUCACAGAUCUGUGCCACCUUCAGCUUUCUCUUUUCAGGGCUCAACUUGCUUCCAACAAUAUCACUAGUUUUUAUGAGUGUUAUGUGAAGCCGCAAUAGACAACAUCUCCUCAUCUGCCCUAGCAGGCAGGAUGGGGUUCUGCCUUCUGCGUGGAGCAUGAUGGGUGAGAGGAAGCAGAGGCUGGAGAGAUGGAGGACCCACAGUUUGAAAGGAGAUGAACCCCACAGGACGCUUCCACAGAGUGAUGCUGGCCAGCCCACCUUGGACCACAGGAAGCUCCCUAAGGAAAAGAUGCAGACAAUCUCUGGGAGCCGUUUCUCCUGCGAGCAAAGUACCAUAUCAGGAAUUCCAGACAUCUGACGUUAGCAGACGACUGUGUCACACAAUGCCUGCUCUCUGCCAGAACGUCAGAGGAGCAGGGGGUGACAGUGCACGGAUCCCUGUGAGGAGAGAGCCAGCGUUUGCAGUGUAAGUGCUGCGGGCAUUGGUCCCAACACACGUCCAGUUUUCUGGUAUGCUCUGGUAUUCUGGUUCUCUUUUGGAUCCCAGUAGCAUUUGGUUGUGUAGGUUUUGCAAUUAUAUUGUGAGUGACGUCUUUGGUUUUCUGUUUACUUCAUUGUUGUUUUUUGUUUUUGUUUUUGUUUUUGUUUUUGUUUUUGUUUUUGUUUUUUAAAGCACUGACUGGGAGCCUGGGAGAUAGCUCAGUCAGUACGGCCAUGAAGACAUGAAUAUAAUCCUUAGAACCCAGAAGAAAAUGCCAGGUGCAUGCUUAGAAUCCCACCGCCGGGGAGGAGGAAACUGAAGAUCCCUGGGAUAGCUGGCUGGUCAGCCUAGCUUCCUCAGUGAGCCCCAGGCUCAAUGCUUCCUGUGGCAAGCUCCCAGGGGCCCCACCUCAAGGGUGCCUCUUCCUCGUGACCACCUGUGACCUUCAAAAUGACAGCUGCCAAGGAUGCUGAAGAUGGUCAGCCUGGCUCAUCACCAACUCUGGAACUCAGCAGCUGCAUCAAUGUGGAUGGGAAAAAAAAAAGUCUCGGUUACAUUGAUCUUUGCCAGUGUCUCCUUCAGCAACAUACAUCGCCACAACCACAUCUCCAGUGGUCUCUGGGAACAACAUCACUAUUUUCAGAUCGGUGACAGUUGUGUCAGGUGGUUGAAAAUGUCAUUAAACCCAGUACUGCUUCAAAAUUACAGUCAUUAUUGAAACCUGCUCCUAGACCUUGUUAUUUAGUCUGUUAAUAAACAAGGAUUCCUAGAACCA
ensembl:lncRNA